UAGGGAAUCUUCGGCAAUGGGGGGAACCCUGACCGAGCAACGCCGUGUGAGUGAAGAAGGUUUUCGGAUCGCAAAGCUCUGUUGUUAAGGAAGAACGAGUGUGAGAAUGGAAAGUUCAUACUGUGACGGUACUUAACCAGAAAGGGACGGCUAACUACGUGCCAGCAGCCGCGGUAAUACGUAGGUCCCGAGCGUUGUCCGGAUUUAUUGGGCGUAAAGCGAGCGCAGGCGGUUAGAUAAGUCUGAAGUUAAAGGCAGUGGCUCAACCAUUGUAGGCUUUGGAAACUGUUUAACUUGAGUGCAGAAGGGGAGAGUGGAAUUCCAUGUGUAGCGGUGAAAUGCGUAGAUAUAUGGAGGAACACCGGUGGCGAAAGCGGCUCUCUGGUCUGUAACUGACGCUGAGGCUCGAAAGCGUGGGGAGCGAACAGGAUUAGAUACCCUGGUAGUCCACGCCGUAAACGAUGAGUGCUAGGUGUUAGGUCCUUUCCGGGACUUAGUGCCGCAGCUAACGCAUUAAGCACUCCGCCUGGGGAGUACGACCGCAAGGUUG
rnacentral:rRNA from 1 species